rnacentral:lncRNA from 1 species
CCCCGCCCCUCCCCCGGGAGAAAGACUACAUCUCCCGACAUGCUUUGCGGGUCUCUCCCUGGGGUUCCGGAUGCUGCCACAAUAAUUAGAGUAAUAGAGUACAAGCAUUCUUGCUUAUAUCAAAUAAACCUAUUUGUAGUUCAGUGAGUUCAGGGUUUCUCCCCCCCCCCCCCCCCCCGCCGCCGGGCAGGGCAGGAGCGGCGGCGAGAGAAGAAGCGAGCGGGCGGGCGCCGGGGGUCUGGCUCGCCUUCCUUUCCCUUUUCCCACCCAGCAAAAGAAGAGCAGGGUGGAGAAAGCGGAGCGAGAAUCGGAGCUUGCCAGCAAUUUCGCCCAGCCUUGCAAUUUUUUUUCUCUCCCCCCCUUUUCCUCCUGGCUGGUUCUUUUGUGCGGUGCGUUUGAAAGGGAAGGGAGGAAGGAAGAGAAAGAGAGCAAGACCGGGGAGGAGGGGAGGCCAGCGGUCGGAGUCAUCAUCAUCAUCAUCAUCAUGUCCAAGCCGAGUUGCGGGUGGAUAAUGUGAUCGGCCGAGAGAGGCGAUGAAUAUGCUGUCCCUGAAGGUUGGCAGUGGCGCCGAAGGGCCGGGCACCCUCCCCGGCGGCCCGGAGUCGUCUCCUCGCGGGGAAGAGAAAAGUCUCCCGCGGAAGGCGGCGGCGGCGGCGGAGGGGAGCGGAGCGCAGCAGCAGCAGCAGCAGCAGCAGCAACAGCCACCGCCGGCUGAUGGGAGCUCUGCUGCCUGCCAGCCUGUUGGACUGGAAAAUGGAGCCAACCCGCCAGCCGAAUGGUUCCCACGCAGCCAGGGCCCAGGGCUGCGGCAGCCCAACAGCGAGGUGGAUGGCGGAGAGAGAAGCUUCAGGGUGAACCUCCACUGCAAACACGGGCGGCCCAGGUAAGGGCGGGAGUGGGGAAUAGGCCCCCUCGAUAAGCCAGUCUUUCCCCUUCUGGCUCGGAAAGAGUUCCAGGCUUUUCAGGCUUUUCCUGCUGAUUUGGGGAGAUGGUGAGGCUCCAUCGCUGUGUGGAAGAAGGUGAGGUCACUGAAGAAGGCCCGAAGGGAGGACGUGGCUCUAACCUUCGUCCUCCAAGGUAGCGGCAAUGAGAGGAAGGACCUCUUCCUUCACACACCCUGUCCUGCCCCCUGCAGCCCCAAGAGAGCUGUGGAAUAUACUGUCCUGUCACUAGUCCUGAAUUAAAAUCCAACCGUCAGGCUAGUUUGUUGGUUUGUGUCUGUGUAUGUCUGUGUCCGUGUCCCUGUCCCCUUUAACUCUGGUCGUAAAAUAUGGUGGGGCAAUCUUGUCUGCACUCCGCUUCAGUCUAGGCAUGCAUGUCAUGAAAGGAGGCGUUGGAAUGGAUUCUGCACUUUUAGACUACAGGG